rfam:Mesocestoides corti genome assembly, scaffold: MCOS_contig0000263
ACGCUGGGUAGUCGUUGCAUUUCCACCUUGCUGCAAUUCCGUAGCCAGUUUACAGUGAAAAUGCACCAACUAUCUGAGAG